ACGGGAGGCAGCAGUGAGGAAUAUUGGUCAAUGGGCGCGAGCCUGAACCAGCCAAGUAGCGUGAGGGAUGACUGCCCUAUGGGUUGUAAACUUCUUUUGUUCGAGGGUAAAGUGAGUCACGUGUGAUUUAUUGCAAGUAUCGAACGAAUAAGCAUCGGCUAACUCCGUGCCAGCAGCCGCGGUAAUACGGAGGAUGCGAGCGUUAUCCGGAUUUAUUGGGUUUAAAGGGUGCGUAGGCGGGAUGUUAAGUCAGCGGUUAAAUAGUGUAGCUCAACUAUACUUUGCCGUUGAAACUGGCGUUCUUGAGUGUAAACGAGGUAGGCGGAAUGUGACGUGUAGCCGUGAAAUGCUUAGAUAUGUCACAGAACCCCGACUGCGAAGGCAGCUUACCAGGAUACAACUGACGCUGAGGCACGAAAGAGUGGGUAUCAAACAGGAUUAGAUACCCUGGUA
rnacentral:rRNA from 1 species